UGGAAGGGGAGGGAGAUUUUUCUGGGCUUUAUUGCUCCAUGCUUGCCUGUAGUGUGUAUGUCUUUGUCCUUACAAGUCUCUGACUGUCCCUAGUCUUUGUUUCUUAGGGAAAUCGUUUGCUGUGCGUAAUCGAGAGUGGAGGGUUGUUUAAGAAGACAGGUAGGUGCUGCGCAUAGUACGAGAUCACUGCCUAGGAUGUUCCCUGUAGCAAAUUAAUCCUUUCAGAACCCCAAGAGAGGUUUAAACUGGAGCUUUGUGAUGUUUUCCCUUUUAUCCGGUAUACUUUCCAAAGGGAUGGAUAUUUCUGAGUGCAUACAUGGAACUUUGUUUCUGUGCACCCGAAUUAAGCAACGGUCCUUACCUGACUUUUGCAUGCAAGGCUUUCUCUCUGUCAUCUUGGCAAAGCAACUGGAUGUGAAUCACAGAGAAGUCAUUGAAAGAGAGUACAAGCCAAGUCUGGCGUGCUUCAUCAGUGUUCUUUUCAUUAAGGUCGUCUUUAUCAGCUGGGUGACUGUAUUUGGAGAGUACCAGGUGGGAUCUGCAAGUGUCAGUGUGUGGGAGUAUUUUGUUAUGAAAAUAGCUAAACCACCAAUGUGGACAUGUUAUUUAAAAAAACCUGAGUUAAAUGUCUAAGAAUUAGAUUAGUGUAAUCUAUAAGUUGUUUGCAGAUCCAUGUCAUAUUGUGCUGAGUUUACUUUGAUUCCUGUAAUACUGCUCCAGCUUUCAGCUUUACCACUGGGUAAAGACUUGUUGUUAUCACAUCGGUAAAGCGUGGGCUUGACACAUGCAACGUUAAACUGACAUCCGCAACUCGUUAGUAGUGUUACUUGGUUUUCCAUGUGACAUUGGUUUCCCCAAGUCGGAAGCCUAAAUAAACUGCACACAGCCUGCGAGCAGUCAGCACCAGCUAUUCCCUGCAGGGUGGUCUUUGUAGAGUGGCAGCUCCUUGCCUCUUCUUGGUGUGAUUAGUGAGACACUGAGAAAUGAGGACCAAAGCAGAAGCACAAGUGCUAGUGGAGAUGAGAAAUUUGCCAUGCUCCAGACAGGAGUGUAGUAUGCGAGCGUUUGAGUCAAAAUCUGGCUCUCUGCUGGGGCUAUGGCCAGAGCUGGUAUGUAUUACCGGUUCCUGUGUUACUGGUUUAAAUUAAGAGUGAGGCUUAUUUUUCUUUAUAUAUCAGGUUUAAACUUUCAUUAGAGAUCAGCACAAAGACAGCUGCAGGGGUGUGCUAAACUUCAGUUUCUCAUCUGUUCUCUUUUCUCAGUUCUUUACUCCUGUAUUGCUGUUCUGAGAGUGCAGCUUACUGCUUCUGGUGAUGGUUGUGAGGAGCAGAGUUAUCUGUGCGGAUAAUAGAGUUAUCUCUGCAGAUCUGUGCAGAUAACGAGGUUCCCAGAUAAUGACAUCCUAACCUGGUGUCUGUGUGGAGUGGACAACCUUCUGGAUGGUUUUUUGUUUGUUUUUUUGCUUCAGAGCUGUACAGUGGGCAAAUAGAGGUAAAGAUGAGCUCCAUUUUUGGUGAGCCAUAGGGGCUGUGAAGUGAGCUAGCUCAGCAGCAGUUCUGGAGCAGAGAUACUCAAUUCACCAUUUGCAGUGGUCUCUCGCAUGGAUUGUGCCUCACUAGUCAGCUGGAAAAGAAGACUCCACUCCUGGCCAUGAGGUUGCACUGAGUGGUUCAUUUCUCCUUCUUCCUUUUAAAAAAUUUUUUUAAACCAUUAACUUCAGAAUUCAAUCUCGAAGCAUCUCCAGGGCAAAGCAGAAAAUACAUGUCGUGUUUCCAGCCACACGGAUAGCGGGAGUCUGGCUGCAGCCACUCGGUGAGUAGCGCAUCACGCCGCUCCGUUGCUGGGUGGGUGCAGCAGCGUGUAGCGUCACAUCUGAUUAGCGCCAUGCCAGUGAAUGAGGCUUGAGUGAGGACUCCCUGCCAGCUCUGACUUGUCUCAUUUCCCAUUACUUUUAUCCGUCACCACAAAUGCCGAGUCUCCCUCCUGAACUAAUUAAGUUUGCGUGUGUUUAGACACAUUGCCAAAUAGGGUUUAGCAAAGCAGAACUGAGCAUCUCUUUUUAAAGGCAGAGAGCUGAAACAGGGCUGCUCAGACAGGAAGACAGACCCCCAGAGAUGUGGAACAUCUAGGAGGUAUUCCAGGGAAUCGCUCCGUGCUUCCCUACAAGGCUUGUGGUGUAGCUGGUGAGAUCACAAGCUGGGAACGGGAGGCACUGGGCCACUGUGAAGGGAGGUGGUCCUGCUUGCCCAGGUUUGGAGGAGUGUCCUAGUAGCAUCAUUGUGCGGUAAAAAACCCCACUGGGUUCCAGAGGGAUUCAGGACAAUGAGGUGAGUGCAGUGCUUUUGGGGCAGGUCCAUUCCUAACUCUGCUGCUCCUUUUCUCAGCUUCCUUAGUAAUGACAGCUGCUUGCAGAGCUGCUCGUGAAGCAAGCUGUGAUCCUCUUACCCGGUGUCCCACGUGGUUUGGUGUUCCUGUCCUCUGUUGUCUUUAGCUCAGCUGUUGAUGGGAAACCAUGCAGCCUUAUUUCUGGCUUUGCCAGCGUUGGCCUGGGCAUUUAGUUUGGCUUCUGUCUGCAUGUGCUGUUGAAGAGGUGAGGCAUGGUGUCUUCUGGAAAAGCCUGUCUACUGUGGGCAUUUCCAGCGGGUUCCACUUGUAAUUGCCAGGGCACUGGGAGGCACAGCGGGUGAACAAGCUGGAUGGGGGUAGUGGCUGGAACAAAGAGAAGGAAUCUACAAGACUGGUGGUGUAUGUCGGGACAAGAUGAGCAAAUAGCCCUGUCAAAGCCAAGACCUACAAUGCGUGUAGCACUCCUAGCUCAGAGAAAAGCACCAGGGGGCCAGCAGUUUUCAAGGUACUGCUCUCUGCUGAUGGUGUCUAGCAUUACCUGAGUCUGCAGGAUUCAAGGUGGAAGCUCAGCUGCUAAAGCACGUGUGAAGCGUCUUCUUGGCUCAGGAAUCUUCAGGGAACAAGACACUCUGUGGCUGCAGACUUGAUUUGGCUUGAACUAGUUUCCUCAGAAGCUCUCAGAGCUGUUUGUCUGGCUUCCCUUUGACAACAGGGAGCACGAGUCACGAGGAGCUGGGUACCCAGAAGAGGACACCAGGCAUGUGACAAGGGCUUAUGGUUCAGGAUGAGUCAAGCUCUUUGGCCAUGCCACCAAAGGCUUUGUCGUGGGUGUGGUGCACCAUCAGGAGAGUCCCUGUGGAGGGUUUGGUUGCUGCCGAAGAGAGACCAUUGUGUGAAAGGGCUCAGAAAUGGAGUGCUGAUUUUCUGCUGGCUGCGCUUGGAUCAACCAGCUUUCAGCAUUCGGUGUGUGUGAACCAGGCUGGAGUCGGGGAGACAGCAGCUCUCUCCUGCCACCCCUCCCCUUCCCUCUUGUUAAGAUGCAAUUUCUUUAAUGAGGAAAACCUCUUGAGUAAGAACAUCACCUUUCUGAAGGCUUGUCCUGACAAGGCAGUUCAAGCCGACAACUUCAGCAAAUAUCAGUCACUCAUUACAGAGAUUCUUCUCCCCCCGCACCCCCCAGCAACACCCCUCGUUCCCAGACAAGGGAAUGAAUCACACUCCUGCUCUUGAAUACAUCAUGACAAGUCGUGGUUCUAAUGAGAGAGGGCCAUUCAUUCUGGGUGGAAAGUUCCCUGUGUCGACACAGAAACGUUAUUAAUUAAAGAGAGCUACCUGAAGCAAAAGAUGAAAGGAACACCAGACCUGCCAAGCUAAAAUACGAGUGGGGAUACAGCCUCGUUAGGCACACGGUCCUCGGGCCGCUGAGUGCUCAGCGGGAGGAUUCCUUUAGCCUGUUGCAAGGAGCUUAUCCUCCAAGUUUAACAGCUCUGGGGCCAAAUUCAGACACCUGGUGUGGUCUGCUUUAGUGCUUGGACCUCGUCUUGCACCUAGGAUGGAACUGUCACUGGUGAUUAAGCAGAUUGCAUUGAUGCGGCGUUGGGUGGUGAGGGGAAUGUGCUCUGAUGGGCUGCGGGAGCUGCUGACGGCAGGAGGCAGUUGUGGUGGAAAAGAGGGUACUCGGUGUCUGCCAGGGUUGAGCCCCUGUAAUGUGAGCUCUUUAGUGUGGUUUAUCUCCUCUGAAAUGUCAAAUUGCCUCCAUCCGUGUGUGGAACCGGUUUGCCUGUUCUUAAGCACAAUGUGAAUUAAACGUGGCAACUGAAGAAGCAUUUUUACUGCGUGUUCAUAGCUACAGAGCUGAGGUACGGUGGGGUUAAGUGAUGUGCCUGUGGCCGUGCAGGUACAGGCAGAGGCAGGGAAAGGAGCUGAAACCACAUGUGCUGCAUCUCUUAGACCUGCACCUUAACGUCAAGAGCAUCAGUUAAUCCUUCUCCUUCCAGUUUUGAAUCAUUCUGCAAAUGAAUUGAGCAUAGUUAAAAAUGCAUGUAGGCUUUGGUCUGUAUACCUCUGACACAUCUGAAGAUGCUUGUACUGCACUUGCUGUGGCUGAUCAGAAUGUGCUAAUUUAUGUCUUUACAGGAAAAUACUGCUCAGAAGUUUUUUAUUUUCUCAAAUAAGUGUUAAAAGGCAAGUACUCUCUAAUAUAGUGAUAAAACACAGUGAAGUGUCUUGAAAUGUUUAUAGCCCUUCGUGCUCUUCCUAGGUUGCAUAUUAGUAAAUUCCGAGCAGUAAAUGAUACCAUUGCUUAAUUUUAUCUUACUGUUUUAAUUCUUUCUUUGCACGUUACACAGGCUGGGAGGAUGCUUGCUUUCUCACACCAUCUCCAAGUGUGGCUAUGGGUUGGUCUUUCCUGGAGAUUUGGCUUGAGAUCAGCCUUGGGUCAUAAAUGAAGAAGGAUUGAUGGUGUUAGUGUCCCUUGUGCAUGCUGUUCUUUGUCACAGGACCAGGAGGGGGUUGGUAAUCUCUGCCUGAAUGGAGUGAGUGGGACCUCUUGGGUAGCUGUGGGGAGAGGCGGGAGAAGGCGCCGGGUGGGAUGGUUGGGUGGCAGGAGGUAAGUUAUGUUCAGAGGGUGCCUUUGAGAGUAACAAGAAAGAGCUGGUAAUGGAAAGAUAACAUAGUAAUCUGUGUUUUAAAAUAACAAACAAACAAAACAAAAAAACCUCAAACAAACCAACAACAACAAAAAAACAAUUCCUUUCCGACUAAGGUCUUUGGAUUAGCUUGUUGUUGCUUUGAGUGGGGAGCGUUUUGCUGACCAAGCCUAUGGUGUAUCUCUUCACGUUUACACUGGCUGAAGGAAGAGGGUGGUGUGAACUACAGCGCAGGAACGGGACUGAGUAUCCAGGGUCAGGAACCUUUCAAGUCAGCUUUGCUGAUGGAGUUGUUCAUGUAAUUACAUCCUAAAGUGCUUUGCCGGAGCUAAGCGAGGCAGCCUUGUGAGCAUGCUCUUCUUUAGCACUUACCGGGAGUAGCACUGACCCCAUUCACUUCUGCAGCCCCGCAGUCCAGCUUUUUGUUUUUAAAGGAAAUGAUGCCACUUACGCAAAAUAAACUUUGUUUUUUAAGAUUCCCCUCUGAACAUGCUUAUUUAAAAUGAAUGUAGCGCACUUGACUUUUGUUAUCCUUCUUCUGUUCUUGCCUUUGUUUGAGAUCUAUUGGUUGCAUGCGCUUCUGCACGUUAUGUUGUCCGAGAUGUGUGACUCUGGGAAUGCCUUUGGGUUGAGCUUUGGACAUGAAAUCUUUCCACGGGGAUCAUCAUGCAAUGGACAGUCACCUUCAGGUCUGCUACUUGCUUGGCAUGUCAUAGCAAAGACAUUUGUCGUAGUCAAGGCUGCAGUGGCCACAGAUUUAUUGAGCUGUGAUGCUUGAGGUGCUCUGGGGACCACGGGCUCUGCUGCCUGGGAAUUAGGGCCAAAGAAGUUGGAAGCAGCCUGAAAGAUGGGGGAGAAAUUUGGAAUACAAUUACAGUGUAGGGGGGAAUGAGACAGGCAUUACAUCAAGUGCUUUAUUUCCAGCACUGAGCUGUUGGGAUGGGGUAAUAAAUGGAGUACGUGGAUUUUUCCAUCCCGGAGUGACGUAACUCGAGCUACAUUUGGAAACAGUCACACUGAACUGAAUACAAGCUGUUGGUCUUGGUGUCAUCUGCUCAUGCAGUAAGGAGCCAUAAUUCCCUCUGCAGUAGGCAUUUCUAAGGUGAAUUCUGUGUCUAGCAUUGAUAGCAAAUUCAGGCAAAAAGGUUUCAAAAUCAAUGGCUCUGUAAUGGGUAUUUGGUAUAAAGCACACCCUGGCCUCUGCCUGUGUAAGAGAGACCCCUAACAGCAACUUGGCAUCGUGGUUACCACGUGCCCUGGGGAACUGAGAAGCUGGUUGGCUUGGGGACUACAAAGGAUAAACCACCAGAGGGCUUUUUGCCAUCUGAAUUUUGUUGUCUGUGGCAUGUGUGAAAAAUAGGAUUAGCUUCGCAAGUGUGAAUUUUCUUUAUUACUGCAAAAAGCUUAAGUUUUCUAGCAUUAGACAGCACUAGUUUUCCUUGAUGGGGCUAAAAUGUCAGCUGUCUCAUUUUGGAUCUUGACUCUUCUUACUUCCCAGCUGAAGCGAAGCAGUUGUGUGUUGGUCCCAGUGCUCCUUCCCAGUGGCUUGGCUGGGAGUGACGCUCCUGUGGCUGCUCUGCUGAGAGACCUCUGCUUGAAGAGUACUGCCAGCCGGGGAGCAGCCUCCUGCCCCUUUCACUUGCUCUGUUCAAGCCUUGUGGAAGUCGGUAGCUUACUUGAAAGCAUUUUAUUUUGUUUGCGUGUUCGUUUUCUGUUGGGAGCCAUCUUCCUGGAUGGGAUCAGUCCCUUUCCUUCUGAAGCUCCUGGCUGGCAAAGACCUACUGGGCCAUCUUGAGGUCAUCCCUGGUAUUUUCCCUCCAGCAUAUUCUCACGUGCCUUGUCCAGCAAGUCUCGUCAUCCUGAGGAAUGGAUGUCUGGGUGUGUGCAGGUCUCUCGGGAGGAUGCUGCAGCUGCAGAUUAACUUUUCAAGUUGAAUCUGUUCCACAUCCGAGUCACCUUUCCGUGUGUGUUUGGCCAGGGUGCUGCCCUCAGCCUGGCACCACAGAGAUGGUGGUGUGUGCUCAGAGAUUGCUCUGGACAAGGUGUUAGCAAAGAUGUGAGGCACAUGGAGGUGGUACUAGAAGAAAGAGCAGAACAGAGGAGUUGGGGGAAGAAGACUGAGGAAGCAGUGCCUUGUGCUGGCAGGGCUGUGUGCAGGCAGGUCAUGCUACGCAGAACUUUGUCCUGCUUUGGUCAAAGAAUCAUGGGUUGGAAGGGACCUUAAAGAUUUAUCUAGUUCCAACCCCCUGCCAUGGGCAGGGACACCUUCCACCAGACCAGCUUGCUCAGAGCUCCAUCUGGUAUGGCCUUGAACACUUCCAGGGAUGUGGCAUCCACAGCUUCUCUGGGUAGCCUGUUUCAGCACCUCACCACCCUUGUGGUGAAGAAUUUGUUAAUUACAUCUAAUCUAAAUUUACCCUCUUUCAGUUUAGCGCCAUUACCCUUUAUCCUAUUACUGGGUGCUCUUGUAAAAAGUCCUGCUCCAGCUCCAUCUUUCCUGUAGGUCCCCUUUAGGUACUGGAAGGCUGUUAUAAGGUCUUCCUGGAGUCUUCUCCAGGCUUAGCAACCCCCACAACUCUCUCAACCUAUAUUCAUAGGAGAGGUGCACCAGACCUCUGGUCAUCUUUAUGGUCCUCCUCUGGACCCUCUCCAACAGGUCCAUGUCCUUCUUAUGGUGGGGGCCCCAGGGCUGGAUGCAGUUCUGCAGGUGGGAUCUCAUGAGAGCAUAGUAAAGGGGGAGAAUCACCUCCCUUGACCUGCUGGUCACACUUCUUUUGGUGCAGCCCAGGACACAGUUGGCUUUCUGAGCCACAAGUGCACAUUGCCUUGUCAUGUUGAGCUCCUCAGCAACUGACACCCCCAAGUCCUUCUCCUCAGGGCUGCUCUCAAUCCAUUCUCUGCCCAGCCUGUAUUUGUGCUUGGGAUUGCCCUGGCCCACUUGCAGGACCUUGCACUUGGCCUUGUUGAACUUCAGGAGGUUUUCACGGCCCCACCGCUCAAGCCUGUCAAGGUCCCUCUGGAUGGCAUCCCGUUUCUCCAGCAUGUCAGCUGCACCACACAGCUUGGUGUCAUUGGCAAACUUGCUGAGGUUGCUCUCCGUCCCACUGUCCAUGUCACCAACAAGGACGUUAAACAUCUGGUCCCACUAGCUUUGUCUGCCUCUAUUUGAGCAGGGCUUGCUCCUUCCCUUUGCCCAGCUCUGGGACACUCUUCGUUUGCCAUUUUACCAUAGGUGCCUCUUGGUCAUCUUGAAUUUCCCUGCUUCAGUUUUUCCAUCGGAGUGUUGAGCCAGCUCUCAGGUCUGACCAUCCGACCAGCAUGCCAGCGGUGCCUGGGCACCGACUGCGUGCAGCUCCUUGUCCCUGCCUGGAGUCACCCCUGUCCCCUGCAAACCCAGCGGAGGGAGGAGGCUGGCGGGAGGUUGCCAAGACCUCUCCUCCUGCUCGCUGUGCUCCCAGCUCUGAAGGGAGCUGUUACAUUUUAUGGACCAUUUAGCUUCCCAAUGGUGAUCCUAAUUCUUCACAGCAUGUAUGUGCCAUUUCUUGGUUAUUAAAAGGACCCCUGAAAAGGAGCUGCCCUCUGAGUCAGUGCUCUUCCAUGCAGUUAAUUGCAGGCGGCUUUUGCUUAGACUGUGAGGCUUAAUAUUUCCAAACUCUCUCUGUGCUAAGAGGGUCAAUUCAUACCUAAGUCUCCCCGUGGCUGCAGGACUGACCCUUGCACGCCGUCAGUAAGUGUGCAGGGAAGGAAGGCUUCUGCUGGGAGUAAUUCAAACUUUGAAUUGCUCUGGAGGAAGUCCACUUGCGUUCUGUGUAGAGAUCAAGAGUGCUUUAAGGGCUGGCUGGCCAGGUGUCUCAGUCUUUCAUCUCUAUAUCCUUAUAUUGUGUGACACUUCAGAUACCAAAAUAGCUUCCAUCCCUUGGGGGCCCAAGCAAGCUCCACGCUUACUGGAAAAGGAGUGAUUACCUUGGACUGAUGAGUCAGUUAAAGGAUGGGUGGCUGCGGUUGCACAGCAGGCCUGAAGCAAAUCGCUGGCUUAAGGGGCUCUAAGGACCUGGGUUUUGCACUGGAUUUACAGGUAAGGCGAAAGUAGGAGGGGGCUAAGUAAUUAAUUCCUCUUGCUGUGACCAGGAUGGGAGAUGAUUCUGACUUGCCACUUCUCCUCAUAAGUUUCUUCAGAAGCUGGUAAGGACUCUGGUUGUGAAACCUGGAAAGCAAAGAGGAUCCCUGGGUGCCUGACAAUUCCUUUUCUCUGCUGGUUCUUUCUCGCAGGCAGCCUCAGGCUGCCUGUCUCUUUGUUAAGAGAGUGACAGCAAUGUGACACUGUGAAAAUAAUUACUAACAAAUCACGGUGGUGACUGCAAACAGCUCGCUGUCUUCAGAGGCAUGUCAGGGAGCAUUAGAGCAGGGCCGUGGGAGCGGCGGAGCGGCUAGGGGCUCUUUCUCUGCGCUAGGCUGCGGGAAGAUCUUCGGAGACCUUUGGCGCCUGCCACCCCCACAUCAUUCCCUUCUCGUUGGAUUUUUCUGUCUUUCCUCCCUUCCCUGCCUCUGCCAUCAAUAAUUAAGCCCAUUAAUUGCACACUGAGUUCAGGAAAGCCGAGAAUGGUUAAGACCAUGCUUCUACCUUCCCUGGAUUCAGCAACCAGCCACAGAGCAACAGAGGGGUUUCUGGAGGGGUAUCAUUGGCAGAAGCACAUCCACGGUGUAUUUCUUAUCUUACAGCCCUGUGUGCUGCCCUUGGCAGUAAAGUUGGGAGCUGUGUGCCCAUAGGAAUUCAUGGGCUACUGGUGCAGUUGAAGGGUGGCCUGUGUCCUUGUCCUCAGGAGCCUCCCAGUAUCAGUGAACCCAAAAGUAAGUUUGUAUUUGUGUAGAGUAAACAAGCAGUUGACUGGCAUCCCCAGCAAAAAAAUGGGCAGAGGAACAAGAGGUCCUUCCAGGAUGCAGUAGGGAUGGUGCUGAUCAGCGUGGCUGUAGCUGCAGCUGAAGAUGAUCAGAGAGCAGUGGACAGGUCAUGGGUAAAGAAGGUGGUUGGUACCAAACAAAGGGAUGAGGCCACUGUGGCUGCGUCAGAGUAGGGACCCUUCUGCAGAGCUACACAGGCAGAGUCUGAGGGGAAGCUCUUUAUAAAGCCUCUCAUUAUAUUGCUAUAAAGCUCCUUCCAAAGGGGUGGUCUAGCAGAGAUACUGAUAGGAAGCCGGAAAGCAGCUGCUGGCUCAAGUGUCCUUCAGCAGCGUUGAUAGUGAAACCCCUGGGCAACCUUUGGGAGGGGAGCUCAUGGCCUCCCCUCCUUGUUCGUGGUGGUAUUUCAUCCUCCGCUUUGAGAACGGGCUGUGCUGUCUGGCAAUGGCCUGAGCGGAGCAGUGCCCUGCAAGGGGCAGCAGAGGGGGCGGGUGGGAGCCCACUCCCAGGUGCCCGCUGCACCGAGCAGCCCUCUUUCCCAUUCCCCUACUUACUCAAGUGAUUUUCCCAACUGUCACAUCUGUAAAUAAUGUUGCUGGCAUAUCUAGCUAGACACAGAGUGGCCACAGAGGGGGAAGGGCUGGCGCUGAGGGUGGCUGCAACAGCCCCUCUCCCCAGCUCAUGCAAUAUUUAUGCAGGGCUGGGAGUCGGCGGCACUGACCUCCGGGUCGUGCUGUUAAACAGCUCCCGCAGCCCCUGCAUCCUAAUUGCUGCACUUGUCCUUUGCUCUGGAGGAUUCGUUGCUCCUUCUCUCUGGCGAAUAAAUACUAAUGGCAGCUUGUGCUUGGAGGUGGGGAGCGGUCUCGUCCCCCCAAGGAAAAGACAAACUUUUUUCCCCUUGAGCAGGUGGAAUUUGGAACGACACAGAAACCUGUGCUCAGACGCUGUUAGAAGACAUGCCAGGCUCCCCACUGCUGCCAGCCUGGAGGCUGUGCUGGGAGCCCAGGGAACUGUUGUACAUGUAAUUUUGGGUUGUGUAUCAUCAGAGGGGAUGGGGAGGGGGUUUACCCCAUCCCACUGGCUCCUUACAGGAUUUUUUUUUUCCCUUUAGUGGGGAGAGGGAAGAAGAGGCAAUCACAGAAGUCAGUCAAGAGAGGGUAGACCUGGAUGAUGUGGUGCCAGAGGAGGGCAGAGACAGAAAGAAGAGGGAUUCAAACAGUGUCACAAGAGAGAACAGUAUAUUUUCUUGCAGAUAAGUGAUCUGCUUCAGUGGGUGAGAAGAGAGGUGAUACAGAAGGCUGGAGGCCCUCUGUGUGGUUGGGGGGCUGCUGUUCCACUUCGCAAGCGGUACAGCUGUGGCUGGAGGUGGAGAGGUUUUUCACUUGGCAGGCAGGGACUUUCAGCCAAUUCAAGCAGUUCAAUAAAGCCCAAAAGAUAAAGCUCUUUGACUGCUAGAGCUGCCAUGGCUUUUCCCCAUGCCAUUUUGCUGGGCUCUGUCCUGCUUGGGGCUUCACGUCGGGUGUCUGCCAGUCCAGUGACCCGACCGGCCACCCACGUCCCUUACUUAUCCUGCUUUCCUGAGUUGGCAGGUCCCCUUUGUGACUGGAAAAGUGCUGUUUAGACUGGAGACUAAUGGCCUUUAAGUGACAUGAUUGUAUUAUGUUAAACGUCUAUAGGCUUUACCAUUAGGCACUAAGCAGUUUAUGACUCAUAGCAGUGAAGCCCUUGUCCUGAAGAGUUUAUACGCUAAAUGGUCUGGACAGGCAAAGCACAGCAUAGCCAAGGUUUCCUCCUGCCUGUCUUACAGCAGGUCUGAGGAAGGACUGGGACAUACAUAUCUUAGUUCUAGAGCAGCACCUAGUUCUAGAUCUUGCAUGCUCUGGUCUCCUGGGGAGAAAUACUUCUGCAAUGGGAAUUGUACGGUGGGAAGAGGAGCGCGUUUAAUUUUAGCUUAGAUUUUGUAUGUGUUUUGGUUUUGAGGGAGCUUAGACAUGAAGUGUUGUGGAUGCAUCCAUUGCAUCAGGUACAUUCCCUCUCUCAGUGUGUAGUUACAGUAUUCUGCAGCAGGAGUCUGGAUGCUUUCUAAUAUGCAAAGGACAAGGCAAUUACAAAAUUAGUGUCUGUAUGCAAAACUUCGUAAGAGACCAUAUAGAUGGAGAAAGGACAUGUUCUGUAUAACCAAGCUCUGCUGCAGCGUGAAUCACAGAAAUAUGUAAAUAGAGAUCUCUAAUCCAGCCCCCUGCUUAAAACAGAACGAACUUCAAACUCAGAUCAGGUUGCUCAGGAUCUUCUCCAGAUGAGUCUGAAUGUCUCCAGGGGAGGAAACACCCCCACCAGUCUGUUCCAGUGCUUUAUCACCUGCACAGUGAAGAGAUUUUCCUAAUGACAGAUUAGAAGUUCAUGUGGUCACGUUGGGUGAGAACGUGCCUGUGUGGUAGAUGUACACAGUGUCUAAUUUUGUACACUCCUAUUCAUAAGAUGCUGUAUAAUGUCAUAUUUAGGAAGCAGAUGGACUGUCAUAACAAUCUUGUAUGUAGAAAUCUGGUUUUAAGGGUUUUUAUUGUAGUGCCAGGUUGCCAAGGCUGGGGGGGGCACCUCAGCCUUGGAGACUGAGUUUCUCUUUCCUUGGGAGCAGUGUCAUGCACUUCUGAUGUCAAAGGGAAGUCUACCCAGUCAUCCUCCCUGUCUGGAAGGGCUGGUGAGAAAGAGCAUUUGCUCUACCCUUCUGCUGGUCUGGAGGACUCAGUAUGGAUGAGUGCAAAACUUGUGCUUGCUGCACUCCUAACCUCAGCUGAACCGUGGAGCCAGCAAGCUCUGGUUUCCUGCAUGGUAAUUAACUAGCUAUUUAAAAAUCAAAAGGCUCAGUUCUGAUCCUGCUCGCACUAGCUAAUUACUAACUCCAGGUAGAGUUACUCCAGAUUUACUCCCACAUGCAUAGCAGCAGAAUCAGGCUCAGUAAAUAGAGCUAUGAAUCUUUUUAAGAGAAGCUGUUAAGCAGUAGCACAUGGAUUUAUUGUAGCAUCAUGUGUGUGCAAUUGCUGAUGAACAUCUUCUGUUGGAGGCUGCAUACCUGCUGUGUUACAGCCUUGCUUUUAAUGUUGAGAUAGCAUCUCUGCCAGCAUCUCGCUGACGCACAGACAGAUACCCGUAAAAGGGCCAGAUCUCGCAUGGUGUUAAAUGCCUUCAUGUUUCAUUAAGGUUGAUGGCAGUGGAAGGCACACGGGGCUUUGCAAGACGAGCAAGUCACGAUGAGCCACUUGCCCUGUGUGCGUUUUGUGGCAGAAUUAUUUUCCUAGUGUACACAUUGCUCUGGUUGCAGUUUGGGGUAACAGCCUUUUCCAUGUGCAGGCUGGCUGCUUGGGAAGCAUGAGUGUUGAGGUUCUCCCAAAUUUCUUAGUACCCAGCAAAAAUUUAGAGAAGAGGGAUCUGGCUGUUAACAUGUGAUGGGUGUUCAUGCAUUUCAGCCAGUGCUGCUGUGAGUCCCAAACGUUAAGGCUUGCAGAUUGCCUUUUAAGCUUCCUGGGCAGGAAUGUGCCUGGUGGAGAGAGAAGGCAGCACUGUCCAGAAAGAGCAUCAUAGAAAAAGGAGGUCUGAAAGUGCCAGGUAUUAGCCUCGCUGCUUAGCCCGGGUUUUUUGGCCUCAUUACACUAAUCCAA